GGGUUGUGAGGUUAAGCGACUAAGCGUACACGGUGGAUGCCCUGGCAGUCAGAGGCGAUGAAGGACGUGCUAAUCUGCGAAAAGCGCCGGCGAGGUGAUAUGAACCUUUGACCCGGCGAUGUCCGAAUGGGGAAACCCAGUGCAAUUCGUUGCACUAUCGUUAACUGAAUACAUAGGUUAACGAGGCGAACCGGGGGAACUGAAACAUCUAAGUACCCCGAGGAAAAGAAAUCAACCGAGAUUCCCCCAGUAGCGGCGAGCGAACGGGGAGCAGCCCAGAGUCUGAAUCAGCUUGUGUGUUAGUGGAAGCGUCUGGAAAGUCGCACGGUACAGGGUGACAGUCCCGUACACGAAAGCACACAGGCUGUGAACUCGAAGAGUAGGGCGGGACACGUGGUAUCCUGUCUGAAUAUGGGGGGACCAUCCUCCAAGGCUAAAUACUCCUGACUGACCGAUAGUGAACCAGUACCGUGAGGGAAAGGCGAAAAGAACCCCGGCGAGGGGAGUGAAAAAGAACCUGAAACCGUGUACGUACAAGCAGUGGGAGCACC
rnacentral:rRNA from 2 species